CCUUGUCUUUUUUUCAUAACUAAGUAUAAGAAGUUGAACGAUCAUCUCAAAGUAGUAUAUGAAACAUUUCAGAAAUAUAUUUCAAUAACCAAUCUUAUUAAUAUAAUUAUUAUAAAUGAGAUGAAUGUUUCUCAAGUAUAAAAUGAUCGGUGUAAAUGUAAUACAACAUAAUCAAAGUUUUAACGCUUCAGAUUACUAGAUGGAGGGGUGCAACAUGGGGCCUUCUUACAAACAUAUGGGUCACAUGGCCCUAAUGGUUCACAGCAAGGUGGUAAAUCUUGUAAGUGCACUGCAAGAGCACUUUUCAUACCAACAAGAAGCACCAAAAACAACAAGAAAAAUUUCAAUAAAGAUUCCAUGAUAACUUAAUUUUGAUUUCAAAGAAAUGAAAAAUGGAUACUAAUAGUGAAUGAUAUGUUAAACAAAUGUGUACAGAUUUAUAGGUAAAAAAUAAUCUUUAGAAAAUACUUAA
rnacentral:lncRNA from 1 species